ACAGGCUCGGGAUCCCUCGCAGCGCUAGGGGCCGCAGCCCCGGUCGCCGGGGAGUGCCAUGGCAGGGAGGCGGCAGCCACGUGAGGGGUCUGCGGAAGCGCCGGAGCUGAAAGCUGGGGGCGAAGCAUUUUAUUAAUGCUUUUACGAGUUAGAAGAGUUGGGAUAAUUUGCCAUCUGGAGUUUCUCUGCCUUGCUGAUCUGAGCUCAGACCUGCCAAUUUACCAGAGAUAAUUGAUAACACCCUGUAACAGCUGAGAGGAAAAUGGAAGAAACGGAGAUACUUUUAGUGAAGCAGAAUAAACCACUGAACAGUCUGUUUCAUCUUCAUAAAAACGCUGCUUUCAGUGCACUGGAUUUAUUUUACAACCCACUAAUGGAUUACCCUACAGUUUGAAAAACAUUGCGUUAGACCAGUUUGACUGUUGUCAAGAACCAAAAAAGGAAAAAUGAGGAAGCUGUGAGUACCAGUGGAAGGAACGAGCCAGGAAGAGGGACUGGAACCAUCUCAGAAGCCAUGCCCCUCAGGCUGGAACUUGCCCUGUCUCCUCGCAGAUGAGCUACCUCUUGUGUUUAAGAAUUAAAGGAAGAUGAGCUAGGAAUCAAGAAAUACGCAGAACUGAUUCCUGUCACUGGCGCCACCCUGCCACUUGCCCAGAGCUGUGGUAUAAAUUUUUUUAAUAGGCUGAAAUAAAAAUAUGAAUAGCAUUUUGGUAUUAAGCAUUAAAUUGAUAAAGGCUAUGAGAUACACCUGCUCUCAACCAUGUUAAUUUUUUAUUAUUGGUAUUAAUAAAUUAUUACUUACUAACAUAUUAACAAGAAUUGCAUUGAGAAACAAAGCAUCCACAGGCCAAAUCUUCUGAAUUUCAAAUGUUUAUAUUAAUGCGUUGUAUUCUAGAAAAGUAGAAUUGUCUUAAGUAGCUUUGUAAUAUAAAGUCAUCUAUCAGCCCAUUACACCUAUUAGAAUGUUUUAACCUUUAUUUCCCACUUUUUUGUUUCUAGACUGAGUGUACUUGGUCUGGUAUUUGUGGCAUAACUUACGGAACACAUAAGAAUGAUACAGAUACUAUUUAAUGAUGACCUAAUACAAGCUUAGAUAGCUAAGGUGAAAGCUUCUAUGGCCUUAACAUUUUCCUCUUGAAGAAUGUAUUUUCUGUAAUAAAAUACAGUGGCUACUUGAAAUCUAUAAACUUAUGUGAGGUCUGGAUAAAUCUGAGCAACUUUCUUCUUUGUGCUCCAGGAACCUACGCACUAUAUAUAUAAAUAAAGCUUAAGUAAACAUCACUGCAAUCUGUGUUUUGUUUGAUUAUAUUAC
rnacentral:lncRNA from 10 species